rnacentral:rRNA from 1 species
AGCGAAUAAGGGCACACGGGGGAUGCCUUGGCGUCAAGUGCCGAAGAAGGACGUGGUACACUGCGAAAAGCUCCGGUAAGGCGUGUGCAGCCGCGAAAGCCGGAGAUGUCCGAAUGGGGAAACCCGGCGUAUGCAAGUACGUCACCCGCAAGGGAGGGAACCGGGCGAAGUGAAACAUCUGAGUAGCCUGAGGAAAAGAGAAGAUUCUGCGAGUAGUGGCGAGCGAAAGCGGAACAGGCCAAACCGCUGGACGAGUCCAGCGGGGUUGAAGGACUCCCGCCGAAAGUAGACCAGGGGAAGGGUGUGGGAAAGCCCACCAGAGAGGGUGAGAGUCCCGUACCUGGCGUCGAAAAAGGGAGGAUCCUGAGUACCACGCGGCACGCUAACCGUGUGGGAAGCUGGGAGGUCCACCUUCCAAGCCUAAAUACACUUGACGACCGAUAGCGGAAAAGUACCGUGAGGGAAAGGUGAAAAGAACCCCAGCGCGGGGAGUGAAAGAGAAUCUGAAACCGUGUGCUUACAACCGGUCAGAGGGGGCAACCCUGAUGGCGUGCCUUUUGGAGAAUGAGCCUGCGAGUUAAUGGAUGUGGCGAGCUUAAGGCAGGGACAGCCGGAGGCGAAGCGAAAGCGAGUCUGAAGAGGGCGCGAAGUGGCAUUCAUUAGACACGAAACCGGGUGAGCUACCCAUGGGCAGGGUGAAGCGCGCCUAAUAGCGCGUAGAGGCCCGCACUCACUAACAUUGCAAAGUUAGGGGAUGACCUGUGGGUAGAGGUGAUAUGCCAAACGAACUCGGAGAUAGCUUGUUCUCCCCGAAAUAGCUUUAGGGCUAGCGUUAGAGGAGAGUGCCGGAGGUAGAGCACUGGAUGGGCUAGGGGGUCAUAGACUUACUGAACCCAACCAAACUCCGAAUGCCGGACACUUACCGAUGGCAGUCGGACGGCGUGAGAUGAGUUUCGUCGUCGAGAGGGAAAGAACCCAGACCCGCGGCUAAGGUCCUGAAGUCACCGCUAAGUGGGAAACGAUGUGGGCGUGUUGAGACAGCCAGGAGGUUGGCUUAGAAGCAGCCACCCUUUAAAGAGUGCGUAACAGCUCACUGGUCAAACGCGGCUGCGCGGAAAAUGUAACGGGGCUGAAGCGGUGCACCGAAGCCAGGGACUUCGCAAGAAGUGGUAGGGGAGCGUUGUGAUUGCGGAGAAGGCUGGCUGGCAAGGCUGGUUGGAGCGGUCACAAGUGCGAAUGCAGGCAUGAGUAGCGAAAAGAUGUGAGAACCAUCUUCGCCGAAGGUCUAAGGGUUCCGACGGAAGGUCAGUCCGCGUCGGGUUAGUCGGGCCUAAGCCGAGGCUGAGAAGCGUAGGCGAUGGACAACGGGCAAAAAUUCCCGUACUUGUUGUGGGAGUGCAAGCGAACACCCUGGGAAGGCUCAGCCGCUGAGUGGAUGGCGGUGGUAAACGGUUAACGACCGUGAAGCCGGGCGCAAGCCAGAAGUGAGCGGGACCUGGGGUCAAGAAAAGGCGCUUGGACGAUGAAAGCAGCAAACCGUACCGCAAACCGACACAGGUGGACAGGUAGAGUAUACCCAGGCGAACGGGAAAACCCUCGUUAAGGAAUUAGGCAAAAAGGCCCCGUAACUUCGGGAGAAGGGCGCCAGUGAGAGCUGGCCGCAGUGAAGAGGCUCUAUCGACUGUUUACCAAAAACACAGGUCUGUGCGAACGCGGAAGCGGACGUAUACGGGCUGACGCCUGCCCAGUGCCGGAAGGUUAAAAGGAGGGGUUCACGCUCUGAAUUGAAGCCCCGGUGAACGGCGGCCGUAACUAUAACGGUCCUAAGGUAGCGAAAUUCCUUGUCGGGUAAGUUCCGACCCGCACGAAAGGCGUAACGAGUGGAGCACUGUCUCAACGAGGGACCCGGCGAAAUUGAAGUACGUGUAAAGAUGCGCGUUACCCGCAGCAGGACAAAAAGACCCCGUGGAGCUUUACUGUAGCCUGCCAUUGCGUUAGGGUGGUGUUUGUGUAGGGUAGCUGGGAGGCGGAGAAGCCUGGUCGCUAGAUUGGGUGGAGCCGACGAUGAAACACCAGCCUGAGACCACUUUGGCCCUAACCUGGGUUGUGGAGACGUGGGGACAGUGGCAGGUGGGCAGUUUGACUGGGGCGGUCGCCUCCGAAAAGGUAACGGAGGCGCCCAAAGGUUGGCUCAGGCGGAAUGGAAACCCGCCGCAGAGUGUAAAGGCAAAAGCCAGCUUGACUGCGAGGCCAACGCGCCGAGCAGAGACGAAAGUCGGGCUUAGUGAUCCUACGGCGCUGAGUGGAAAGGCCGUAGCUUACCGGAUAAAAGCUACCCCGGGGAUAACAGGCUAGUCUUGUCCAAGAGUUCACAUCGACGACAAGGCUCGGCACCUCGAUGUCGGCUCAUCGCAUCCUGGGGCUGGACAAGGUCCCAAGGGUUGGGCUGUUCGCCCAUUAAAGCGGUACGUGAGCUGGGUUCAGACCGUCGUGAGACAGGUCGGUCUCUAUCCGCUGUGGGCGAAGGGAGUUUGAGAGGGGCUGCCCCUAGUACGAGAGGACCGGGGUGGACGCAGCGCUGGUGUGCCGGUUGUUUUGCCAGAAGCAGAGCCGGGUAGCUAGCUGUGGAACAGAUAACCGCUGAAAGCAUCUAAGUGGGAAACUGGCCUCAAGAUAAGACUCCCCAUGACAAAAAGUCAGUAAGACCGCUGGGAGACGACCAGUUGGAUAGGCCGGGGGUGGAAGCACAGUAAUGUGUGGAGCUGACCGGUACUAAAGGUCGAGGGCUACU